UGGGCUAUCAAACUACAAAAGACAUGGAGGAACCCUAAACGUAUAUUGCCUAAUGAAAGAAGCUAAUCUGUAGAGGCUAUAUACUGUAUGAUUCCAACUAUAUGGCAUUUUAGAAAAGACAAAACUAUGGAGACUGUAAAAAGAUCAGUGGUUGCCAACUGUUUGGGGUUAGUGGAGAGGGGUGGAACACAGUAUUUUUCAGGCUGGAACUAUUCUGUGUGAAACUGUAAUGGUGAAUAUAUAACAUUUAUACAUUUGUGGAAACCAGUAGAAUUGUACAACACAAGAGGGAAUCUUCAUGUAAACUAUCAGACUUUAGUUAGUUAUUUGUAUCAGUCUUGGUUCAUUUAUUAUAAAAAAUAUACCACACUCAUGCAAAAUGUUAAUAAUAGGAGAAGCAGUGCAGAGGAAGGGGGAUAUGGAAAUUCUACUAUCUGAUUUUCUGUAAAUCUAAAACUGUUUUUAAAAUGGAAGUCUAUUAUUUAUUUUAUUUUAUUUUAUUUUUUUUUGAGACAGGGUCUCACUCUGUCACCCAGGCUAUAGUGCAGAGGCGCAAUCUUGGCUCACUGCAACCUCCGCCUCCUGGGCUCAAACGAUCCUCCCACCUCCUGAGUAGCUGAGACCACAGGUGCAUGCCACCACACCCAGCUAAUUUUUUGGGUUUUUGUAGACAUGGGGUCUCAAAAUGUUGCCCAGGCUGGUCUUGAAUUCUUGGGCUCAAGCGAUCCCCCUGCCUCAGCCUCCUAAAGUGCUGGAAUUACAGGCGUGAACCGUCGCGCCUGGCCAGUCUGUUAAGUUUUUUAAAGGUUAAAAUAAUAAAUUUUAUGUUCUGUGUUUUUUACCCCAGUUUUGUGGGUGUUUUUUUCUUUUUGAGACGGA
rnacentral:lncRNA from 1 species